UACGAAGGGGGCUAGCGUUGUUCGGAAUUACUGGGCGUAAAGGGCGCGUAGGCGGCCUUCUAAGUCAGACGUGAAAUCCCUCGGCUCAACCGGGGAACUGCGUCUGAUACUGGGAGGCUUGAAUCCGGGAGAGGAAUGCGGAAUUCCAGGUGUAGCGGUGAAAUGCGUAGAUAUCUGGAGGAACACCGGUGGCGAAGGCGGCAUUCUGGACCGGCAUUGACGCUGAGGCGCGAAAGCCAGGGGAGCAAACGGG
rnacentral:rRNA from 1 species